UUCCGGUNGAUCCCGCCGGNAGGUCACUGCUAUUGGGGUUCGACUAAGCCAUGCGAGUCUAUGGACUUCGGUCCAUGGCGGACGGCUCAGUAACACGUGGCUAACCUACCCUCGGGUGGGGGAUAACCUCGGGAAACUGAGGAUAAUACCCCAUAGGAGAAGAGGUCUGGAAUGAUCCUUCUCUGAAAACAUAUGUGCCCGAGGAUGGGGCUGCGUCUGAUUAGGUAGUUGGUGGGGUAACGGCCCACCAAGCCUACGAUCAGUACGGGCCUUGAGAGAGGCAGCCCGGAGAUGGGGACUGAGACACGGCCCCAGGCCCUACGGGGCGCAGCAGGCGCGAAACCUCCGCAAUGCACGAAAGUGCGACGGGGGGACCCCAAGUGCUUACGCACUGCGUAGGCUUUUCUAAAGUGUAAAAAGCUUUAGGAAUAAGGGCUGGGCAAGUCCGGUGCCAGCAGCCGCGGUAACACCGGCGGCCCGAGUGGUGACCACUUUUAUUGGGCCUAAAGCGUCCGUAGCCGGUCCAGUAAGUCCCUGUUUAAAUCCUACGGCUUAACCGUAGGGCUGGCAGGGAUACUGCUGGACUUGGGACCGGGAGAGGGCGAGGGUACUUCAGGGGUAGCGGUGAAAUGUGUUGAUCCCUGGAGGACCACCUAUGGCGAAGGCACUCGCCUGGAACGGGUCCGACGGUGAGGGACGAAAGCCAGGGGCGCGAACCGGAUUAGAUACCCGGGUAGUCCUGGCCGUAAACUCUGCGGACUAGGUGUUAGGUAGGCCCCGUGCCUAUCUAGUGCCGAAGGGAAGCCGUUAAGUCCGCCGCCUGGGGAGUACGGUCGCAAGACUGAAACUUAAAGGNAUUGGCGGGGGAGCACUACAACGGGUGGAGCCCGCGGUUUNAUUGGAUUC
rnacentral:rRNA from 1 species